rnacentral:tRNA from 1 species
GGGGUUAUGGCUCAAUGGUAGAGCACUCGCCUAGCAUGUGGGGGACCCUGGGUUCGAUCCUCAGCACCA